CCCCUAGAUGUCCUGGGCCGCACGCGCAAUACAAUGUAAAGUUCAGAAAGCAUAUCCUGUUCCGGAAGGCAAUGGGUAAUCUUUUCAAUAUUUUACGUGUUAGGGAUCGAUCUUUGCAAUUAUAGAUCUUGAACGAGGAAUACCUAGUAAGUGCAGCUCAUCAGGCUGUACUGAUUACGUCCCUGCCCUUUGUACACACCGCCCGUCGCUCCUACCGAUUUCGAGUGGUCCGGUGAAUCUUUUGGAAUUAGAGUGCAAACUCAAACUAAGAUCGAUAAACCUUAUCACUUAGAGGAGGGAGAAGUCGUAACA
rnacentral:rRNA from 1 species